rnacentral:lncRNA from 1 species
AGUUAUGGAACUGUAGUUAGUAUUAAAUAGAAACUGAUUUUUUAAGUAUGUAAUUUUGCUGUGAUACAACACAAUGGGUUUAUAUAUAAGCCUCAGAUGACCUCACUUGUUUAUGAAAAUGAUGUAGCAUCCCAUAAUAUCUUUCUAAUGAAAUACUUUCAGCUGAACUUAUCAGAUGCACUUUAAAAGCAUGUAUGUAUAGUCCAUAUAGUCAGUAAACUCAAAACUUAUUCCUAUGAUACAUAAAAUAAAACAUAUUUCAGAUUAUGGGGCUUAAACUUCUUACGGUGAAAUUUGAGUAUUGUAAAAAGUGCACACACUUCUGAUAGGAAAAUUUGUCUUUAUUUCUCCCUUUGACCUAACUUUCAAAAUAUGUAGCUAUACUUGAAGUGUAAAGGUUACGCUUAUUCCAGGGUUCUUACAUUCAGGAAAUUUAUAAAGUUUUAAAAGCACUAGAUAUUGGCAGGAUUAUGUCACCAUAGCAACCCGUAUCCAUGAAUAGACUCUAAAUAUCUAACCCAAAAGACAAUGAUUAGGUCACUGCUAUGAGAUGCAAAACAAAGCCAAAAUUAUUGAUACAGAAUUCCAGAAAGUAGGCGUUGGUUAUAGAUACAUAUUUUAUCCUUCUUAUUAAGAACUUGAAUUGCUUCAAUCAAUUAAAUCAAAUGAUUUGUUAAUCAUUUUAACAAACGCUUACUAAUAUUGUUUGGCUAUGUCCCCACCCAAACCUAAUCUUGAAUUGUAAUUUCCAUAAUCCACAUGUGUGGUGGCAAGGACCUGGUGGGAGGAAUUGAAUCAUAGGGAUGGUUUCCCCCAUGCUUUCUCAUGAUAGUGAGUAAGUUCUCAUGGGAUCUGAUGGUUUUCUAAGAACCUUUCCCCUUCGCUCAGCACUUAUUUCUUUCUCUUGCCUCUAGUUGAAGAAGGACAUGUUUGCUUCCCUUUCUGCCGAGAUUAUAAGUUUCCUGAGGCCUCCCCAGCCAAGUGGAACUGUCAAGGAUAAGCCAACUACAGGGGAGAGGAAGUGGAUGGAGCUAUUUUUGUGGC